rnacentral:rRNA from 1 species
UACAGAGGGUGCGAGCGUUGUUCGGAAUUAUUGGGCGUAAAGGGCGCGUAGGCGGCGCCACAAGUCACUUGUGAAAACUCUGGGCUCAACUCAGAGCCUGCAAGCGAAACUGUGGUGCUGGAGUAUGGGAGAGGUGCGUGGAAUUCCCGGUGUAGCGGUGAAAUGCGUAGAUAUUCGCAAGAACACCAGUGGCGAAGGCGGCUCACUGGCCCGGUACUGACGCUGAGGUGCGAAAGCGUGGGGAGCAAACAGG